rnacentral:misc_RNA from 3 species
AGACUCAAUCCCUCGGGUUUCCGAGGAGAUUGGACUUGGGUGUUGCCGCUCUGCCGGCUCGCCUUAAAAGACUUAGCGGGAUAGCACCGUAGUCGGCGUAAUAAGUUUCGUCGGUGAAGGUUGUGAUGACUGCUUACAAUCGCCCUCGGGCAAUUUUUGA